ACUAAGCGUACACGGUGGAUGCCCUGGCAGUCAGAGGCGAUGAAGGACGUGCUAAUCUGCGAUAAGCGCCGGUAAGGUGAUAUGAACCGUUAUAACCGGCGAUUUCCGAAUGGGGAAACCCAGUGUGAUUCGUCACACUAUCAUUAACUGAAUCCAUAGGUUAAUGAGGCGAACCGGGGGAACUGAAACAUCUAAGUACCCCGAGGAAAAGAAAUCAACCGAGAUUCCCCCAGUAGCGGCGAGCGAACGGGGAGGAGCCCAGAGCCUGAAUCAGCAUGUGUGUUAGUGGAAGCGUCUGGAAAGGCGCGCGAUACAGGGUGACAGCCCCGUACACAAAAGCGCAUGUGCUGUGAGCUCGAUGAGUAGGGCGGGACACGUGGUAUCCUGUCUGAAUAUGGGGGGACCAUCCUCCAAGGCUAAAUACUCCUGACUGACCGAUAGUGAACCAGUACCGUGAGGGAAAGGCGAAAAGAACCCCGGCGAGGGGAGUGAAAAAGAACCUGAAACCGUGUACGUACAAGCAGUGGGAGCACCCUUCGGGGUGUGACUGCGUACCUUUUGUAUAAUGGGUCAGCGACUUAUAUUCUGUAGCAAGGUUAACCGUAUAGGGGAGCCGCAGGGAAACCGAGUCUUAACCGGGCGUUAAGUUGCAGGGUAUAGACCCGAAACCCGGUGAUCUAGCCAUGGGCAGGUUGAAGGUUGGGUAACACUAACUGGAGGACCGAACCGACUAAUGUUGAAAAAUUAGCGGAUGACCUGUGGCUGGGGGUGAAAGGCCAAUCAAACCGGGAGAUAGCUGGUUCUCCCCGAAAGCUAUUUAGGUAGCGCCUCGUGAAUUCAUCUCCGGGGGUAGAGCACUGUUUCGGCUAGGGGGCCAUCCCGGCUUACCAACCCGAUGCAAACUGCGAAUACCGGAGAAUGUUAUCACGGGAGACACACGGCGGGUGCUAACGUCCGUCGUGAAGAGGGAAACAACCCAGACCGCCAGCUAAGGUCCCAAAGUCAUGGUUAAGUGGGAAACGAUGUGGGAAGGCCCAGACAGCCAGGAUGUUGGCUUAGAAGCAGCCAUCAUUUAAAGAAAGCGUAAUAGCUCACUGGUCGAGUCGGCCUGCGCGGAAGAUGUAACGGGGCUAAACCAUGCACCGAAGCUGCGGCAGCGACGCUGAUGCGUUGUUGGGUAGGGGAGCGUUCUGUAAGCCUGUGAAGGUGGCCUGUGAGGGUUGCUGGAGGUAUCAGAAGUGCGAAUGCUGACAUAAGUAACGAUAAAGCGGGUGAAAAGCCCGCUCGCCGGAAGACCAAGGGUUCCUGUCCAACGUUAAUCGGGGCAGGGUGAGUCGACCCCUAAGGCGAGGCCGAAAGGCGUAGUCGAUGGGAAACGGGUUAAUAUUCCCGUACUUGGUGUUACUGCGAAGGGGGGACGGAGAAGGCUAUGUUGGCCGGGCGACGGUUGUCCCGGUUUAAGCGUGUAGGUGUGUGUUCCAGGUAAAUCCGGUUCACUUUAACACUGAGGCGUGAUGACGAGGCACUACGGUGCUGAAGCAACAAAUGCCCUGCUUCCAGGAAAAGCCUCUAAGCAUCAGGUAACAUCAAAUCGUACCCCAAACCGACACAGGUGGUCAGGUAGAGAAUACCAAGGCGCUUGAGAGAACUCGGGUGAAGGAACUAGGCAAAAUGGUGCCGUAACUUCGGGAGAAGGCACGCUGACACGUAGGUGAAGUGAUUUACUCAUGGAGCUGAAGUCAGUCGAAGAUACCAGCUGGCUGCAACUGUUUAUUAAAAACACAGCACUGUGCAAACACGAAAGUGGACGUAUACGGUGUGACGCCUGCCCGGUGCCGGAAGGUUAAUUGAUGGGGUCAGCGCAAGCGAAGCUCCUGAUCGAAGCCCCGGUAAACGGCGGCCGUAACUAUAACGGUCCUAAGGUAGCGAAAUUCCUUGUCGGGUAAGUUCCGACCUGCACGAAUGGCGUAAUGAUGGCCAGGCUGUCUCCACCCGAGACUCAGUGAAAUUGAACUCGCUGUGAAGAUGCAGUGUACCCGCGGCAAGACGGAAAGACCCCGUGAACCUUUACUAUAGCUUGACACUGAACAUUGAGCCUUGAUGUGUAGGAUAGGUGGGAGGCUUUGAAGUGUGGACGCCAGUCUGCAUGGAGCCGACCUUGAAAUACCACCCUUUAAUGUUUGAUGUUCUAACGUGGACCCGUUACCCGGGUUGCGGACAGUGUCUGGUGGGUAGUUUGACUGGGGCGGUCUCCUCCUAAAGAGUAACGGAGGAGCACGAAGGUUGGCUAAUCCUGGUCGGACAUCAGGAGGUUAGUGCAAUGGCAUAAGCCAGCUUGACUGCGAGCGUGACGGCGCGAGCAGGUGCGAAAGCAGGUCAUAGUGAUCCGGUGGUUCUGAAUGGAAGGGCCAUCGCUCAACGGAUAAAAGGUACUCCGGGGAUAACAGGCUGAUACCGCCCAAGAGUUCAUAUCGACGGCGGUGUUUGGCACCUCGAUGUCGGCUCAUCACAUCCUGGGGCUGAAGUAGGUCCCAAGGGUAUGGCUGUUCGCCAUUUAAAGUGGUACGCGAGCUGGGUUUAGAACGUCGUGAGACAGUUCGGUCCCUAUCUGCCGUGGGCGCUGGAGAACUGAGGGGGGCUGCUCCUAGUACGAGAGGACCGGAGUGGACGCAUCACUGGUGUUCGGGUUGUCAUGCCAAUGGCACUGCCCGGUAGCUAAAUGCGGAAGAGAUAAGUGCUGAAAGCAUCUAAGCACGAAACUUGCCCCGAGAUGAGUUCUCCCUGAGACUUAGAGUCUCCUGAAGGAACGUUGAAGACGACGACGUUGAUAGGCCGGGUGUGUAAGCGCAGCGAUGCGUUGAGCUAACCGGUACUAAUGAACCGUGAGGCUUAACC
rnacentral:rRNA from 1 species